GAAGGACAAAAUUUUAGGGAAAAACUUUGAUUGGUCCAACAUAGAUGGAGAAAUGACAACUGGAGAGGGGAGUUCUACUGGAGAGGGGAGUUCACACAUAUACACUGAAAGCUGCCCAUCAAAAGAGUUGCAGAACCAGGACUACAGCCCUUGCAUCUUGACUGCCAGUACGAUGCAGGUUAAACUCUGUGUUUGAUGCUUGUUGAUGUGGACGUCUGGAACUUGAAUAGAAGACAUUUCUUAUUUCAGAUGCAUCCAUUAGCAGGUCUUAGCCAGGAGCCAGGCCCUUGCAAGUAUAUAUUGCAAGUAAUUGAUGACAUUGGAGCCAGAAAUCGAAUGAACCGGGCCCAGUUCAAUCCACUUACUGGACAAGCUCCUCAAGCACUCUAAGCCCCAAUUUCCUCCUCUGUAAAGUGGGCAUAAAUUACAUUUACCUUGAGGGUUGCUGUGAAGGCUAGAAAUAAUAUAUGUAAUGUCCCCUGAUACACAGAAGGUGCUCAAGAAAUAGUAAGCUCUUCUAAUGAUUGUUAUUGAUGGCAAAGAUGAUGAAAAAACAAAUGCUCUGACUUCUCAAAGGAGAGAGAAUCAUCCCUGAGGAUUGUGUCUUGGAGAACAUAAAUCCAUAUUUUCUCUUUCCUGAACAAAUUCCCUCUGGAAGGGCACAAAGGGAACAAAUUCCCUUGUUAGGAAGGAAGGAAGGGAAGGAAGGAUGGAAAACAAGAGCAAGGAAGGGUUGGCAGGUUGUGACUGUCUACCUCUCCCUGAGGCUUGCUCUGCUACACCCACCCCAAACUCUGGUCCAUCCCAUUUCCAUGCUGAGAUCAGGCCACACACAGAAGUGUUGGUGUCAGACCACCAGCUUUGAGCCAUCCCUGGGAAUCCCCAGGAUACUGGAUAGCAGAUUUGGAGCAUACAGUUCCCACCCACUGUGACUGACGGCUAGGGAGCUCAAGGUUAUGGAGGAAGCUCUCAUAAGUCAAUGCAAGUUUGUGUGUCUCCCGUUCCUCACUGGCUUAGCCCUCAGAGCCCUUGUCCCUGCUUUCUGCCUUGCAACUAGGUCUUCACAUUAGUGUUUUAUCAAACAAAAGACAGGCUGACAUCUUUAAAGUAUGGUCUUUAUUAAGUAGGGAGCAAAUCAUUCCACACCUUCCCUCCCAAUACCUCCCUCACCAGUGACUUCAAGCCUUCAAACAAGAGGGGACACCUCUCCCCACUUCCCAGUGACCUUUCUCCGCCCCUCAUUGCAUCCAUGAGUGACACCACUGAGAUCAGAUGCAGUGAUGUUAAUUGAAAUGGACAUUAAGGGCUCACUUGCUCAAGCAGAAGCACAUUAGAAGAAAUAUAAACGAGGAAGACAUUGGGUCAGUAACAUUUGUUCUAAUGAGAAUAACCAUCUCUAGAGCAUCUUGUUCAAAAAGGAUUGAGUGCCCAGGAAACAACAGAUACAUGAGGCCUUCCACCCCCACCCCACCCCCAAUACUCAGAAGUGUCACACAUACUUGCAGAGACUUUUCAAUCAUCCUUGCUUCAAUCAUGAUUCCCCAGGUGCAUUUCUGUGGGUGUCACCCAGCACAUUCCCCCUCGUGUUCUUCAUCUGUUUCUCCAAAUCUACUUCUCCAUAUUAUUUUAAGAGUUUGUGACCAGAUGUUGGUAACAUGUGGUCCCAGAUGUUCUUAUUUGCUAUACCUCAGGAAUUCUUGACUAAGUGACCCAAGAGCUUCUCAACUUUGGAUCCAAUAAGGGGAACCUAAGGCUAAAAGAAUCCCAUCUGGAGUAGAGAGGAAGAUACCCAAUUACCCAAUUUUUUUGUUUGUUUUUGUUUGUUUUCUGAGACAGAGUCUCUCUCUGUCACCCAAGCUGGAGUGCUGUGGUGCGGUCAUAGCUCACUGCAGCAUUGAACUCCUGAGCUAAGCAGUCCUUCUGCCUCAGCCUUCCGAGUGGCUGGGACUAUAGGCAUGUACCACCAUGCCCAGCUAAUUUUUAAAAAAAGUUUUUGUAAAGACAGGGUCUCCUUAUGUUGCAAAGGCUGGUCUUGAACUCCUGGGCUCAAGAGGUCUUCCCACCUCAGCCUCCCAAAGUGCUGGGAUUACAGGCAUGAGCCACCACAUCUAGCCCAAGUUUCUGCAUAAAGAACAUGAAGGUUUUCCUUAGAUCAUGCUUUACAUGGCACAUCAUGUCUUUAUGGUUAUUAGUGGGCAGUUGCAAGGUAUAGAUACCAUUUUUGUCUAUGCUGUAUCAUCUCCCAAUAUUCUUAACAGCAUCUGACUUAAAAAAAUUUUUUUUUUGAGACAAGGUCUUCCUCUGUCACCCAGUAUGGAGUGCAGUGCUGCAAUCAUGGCUCACUGCAGCCUCAACUUCCCAGGCUCAGGUGAUCCUCCCACCUCAGCCUCCAGAGUAGCUGGGACCACAGGUCGUGCCACCAUGCCCAGCUAAUUUUUGUAUUUUUUUGUAGAGACAGGGUUUUGCCAUGUUCCUCAGGCUGGUCCCUAACUCCUAAGCUCGAGCAAUCUGCCCGUCCCAGACUCCCUGUAAGUGCUUGGAUUACAGGCAUGAGCCAUUGUGCCUGGCCAGCAUCUGAUUUUUCUGUGAGCCUCUACUCCUAUUCUUGGUCCAGGCCAUAAAGAGUAUGGAAACUAAAGUCUGACUGCCUAGGUUUGAAUAUUGGCUCUGCCAUUGACCAGCUAUGUGAACCUGGAAAAAUUCCUAACCUCUCUGUGCCUCAUAUAAGAAAUGUGGAGAAUAGUAUCUACCUCAUGGAGUUUUUGGGUUAUAUGAGUUAAUUCAGAUAAAAUGUUUAAAAGAGUGACUGGCACAUAGUAAACACCCCCCAAAUGUCAUCUAGUAUUAAUAUUAUUACUAUUAGUUCAGAAGGGGCUGACUUCAUUCCCCCUGGCCCUGGUGAUGGCACCUGACCCAGGCCUGGCCAAUCAGGACAUUCUGUCCCCCUGUCCACCAUGGAGUCCUUCUCCAUGGUCAGUCAUACCAGUCAUUUGGAUUGGCACUGUGGGCUGUGAUCUAAUGUGAACUCUGAAAGCCUGGUCAUGCUGGGCCAAAGCUGCAAAGUAAAGGUAAACAUCAAAUCUGGGCUGGUUCAUCAGGAGAGAACAUUCUGAGUAGGGAGACCUGGGGACUAUCCAGUUUCACCUUGCAGGUGAAGGCCCACUCUCCCUACUCUAGCCGUUAGUUAGACCCCAUGAAAAUAAUUGCAGUAGACUGUUAAUUUGAUGGCUUCCAGUGAACCAUGCUUCUGGCAUUCAUACUCUUAUGUAGUCCCCUCCCACAUUGAUUCUGGACUUUGCCAUAUUGAUGCAGGGCAGGUAAGCCCCAGAAUUGGGGCUUAGCCCGAGAAGGUUCUUCACUUCAUCCAGGAAAGAAUUCAAGGGCAAACAGGUGGUGGUAGAUGCCAACAUUUUUUUUUUUUUUUUGAGACGGAGUCUUACUCUGUCAUCAGGCUGGAGUGCAGUGGCACGAUCUCUGCUCACUGCAACCUCCGACUCCCUGGUUCAAAUGAUUCUGCCUCAGCCUCCCGAGUAGCUGGGAUUACAGGCAGACACCACCAUGCCCAGCUAAUUUUUGAAUUUUAGUAGAGAUGGGGUUUCCCCACGUUGGUCAGGAUGGUCUCGAUCUCCUGACUUCAUGAUUCACCCACCUCAGACUCCCAAAGUGCUGGGAUUACAGGUGUGAGCCACUGUGCCCAGCCUAGAUGGCAACUUUUAUUGGAGCAGCAGUGUCCAACAGCAGCAGAGGUACUGCUCCUUGUGGAACAGGACUACCCCCUAGGCAGCAUGCCCAGAGUAGCAGCUCAGGGGUAAUUCUGUCGUCAUAUUUAUACCCACUUUUAAUUACAUGCAAAUUAAGGGGCAGGUUAUUCAGAAUUUUCUGGACAAAGGAUGAUACUUCCAGGCCAUUGCCAUGGAAAGGGGUGGUAACUUUUAGGUGUUGCCAUCACUGUGGUAAACUGACGUGGUGUUGCUGGGUAUGUCUCAUGGAGAGGUGCUUUCACUGCUUCCCUGUUCACCUAGUCUUCAAUCUGGUCCAGAGUUUCAGCCCCAUCUCUGGAGUUGAGUCCUGCCUUCUCCCUCAAUGUGACAAAUGUUGGCCAAUGGUAUAUCGCAGUUGUGAUGCAAGCAGAGGCUUGGUAAAUGCCUGCAUACUGGGGUUUGUCCUCUUGGAAUGCUCAUUUGUGGGAGCCCUGAACAACUAUGUAAGAAGUCUGGCUACCCUGCUGGAGAGAACACAUGGUGGGAAGAGACUAAAAUUAUGUGAAGAGAGUCAGGCCAGCCAUCCCAGCUUCUCUGCUGAGCCCCGCCAUCAGCCAACCUGCCAGCUGAAUGCAACCGUAAGAGUGAUCACCAGCAAGAUCACUAGAAAAACCACCUAACUGAGCCCACCCUGGAUUGAACAAUCAUAAACAAAUAAAAUGGUUAUUGUUUUAAAUCAC
rnacentral:lncRNA from 1 species